rnacentral:rRNA from 1 species
GAUGAACGCUGGCGGCGUGCCUAACACAUGCAAGUCGAGCGAACGGACGAGAAGCUUGCUUCUCUGAUGUUAGCGGCGGACGGGUGAGUAACACGUGGAUAACCUACCUAUAAGACUGGGAUAACUUCGGGAAACCGGAGCUAAUACCGGAUGAUAUUUUGAACCGCAUGGUUCAAAAGUGAAAGACGGUCUUGCUGUCACUUAUAGAUGGAUCCGCGCUGCAUUAGCUAGUUGGUAAGGUAACGGCUUACCAAGGCAACGAUGCAUAGCCGACCUGAGAGGGUGAUCGGCCACACUGGAACUGAGACACGGUCCAGACUCCUACGGGAGGCAGCAGUAGGAAAUCUUCCGAAAUGGGCGAAAGCCUGACGGAGCAACGCCGCGUGAGUGAUGAAGGUCUUCGGAUCUUAAAACUCUGUUAUUAGGGAAGAACAUAUGUGUAAGUAACUGUGCACAUCUUGACGGUACCUAAUCAGAAAGCCACGGCUAACUACGUG